rnacentral:misc_RNA from 1 species
UUUCCGUAGGUGAACCUGCGGAAGGAUCAUUCAUAAUAAGUGUUUUAUGGUACUUUUUUAAAUCCAUAUCCACCUUGUAUGCAAUGUCAGGGUUGAUUUUUCUCUCGAGAGGAUCAACCCCAAACAUCAACUAUAUCUCAACUCUUUGUCUGAAAAAUAUUAUGAAUAAAACAAUUCAAAAUACAACUUUCAACAACGGAUCUCUUGGCUCUC